rnacentral:rRNA from 1 species
GGUGGAAAGUGGCGAACGGGUGAGUAACACGUUGGUGACCUGCCCUGAGGAGGGGAAUAACCGUGGGAAACCACGGCUAAUACCCCGUGAUGUCUAAGCUGUUAGAGGGCUUAGACUAAAGCCCCUGCAAUGGGUGCGCCUCGGGAGGGGCCUGCGGGCUAUCAGCUUGUAGGUGGGGUAAUGGCUUACCAAGGCGAAGACGGCUAGGGGGCGUGAGAGCGCGAACCCCCACAAUGGAACUGAGACACGGUCCAUACUCCUACGGGAGGCAGCAGUGAGGAAUAUUGCGCAAUGGGGGCAACCCUGACGCAGCAACGCCGCGUGGACGAUGAAGGCCUUCGGGUUGUAAAGUCCUUUUCUGAAGGAAGAUAGUGACGGUACUUCAGGAAUAAGUCCCGGCUAACUACGUGCCAGCAGCCGCGGUAAAACGUAGGGGGCGAGCGUAAUCCGGAUUUACUGGGCUUAAGCGCAAGUAGCCGGCAUCGUAAGUUGACCUGGAGCUUCCGGCUUCACUUGGAGUAGUUCGUUCAAAACUGUUGGUGCUGAAGUUGCAUAGAGGAGAUUGGAAUUCCCGGUUUACUGCUGCGAAUGCGUAGAUAUCGGGAAGGAACACCUAGUUGCCGAAGCCGGCUCUCUAGGGCAAGCCUGACCGCUGAGGUGCGAAAGCGUGGGGAGCGAACGGGAUUAGAUACCCCGGUAGUCCACGCUGUAAACGAUGGAUACUAGGUGUGGGAGGUUAUGUACCCGUUCUGUGCCGUAGCUAACGCGUUAAGUAUCCCGCCUGGGGACUACGGCCGCAAGGUUAAAACUCAAAGGAAUUGACGGGGGCCCGCACAAGCAGCGGAGCGUGUGGUUUAAUUCGAUGAUACGCGAAGAACCUUACCUGGGCUUGACAUGGUGGUAGUAGUGAAGCGAAAGCGGAACGACCCUUCGGGGAGCCAUCACAGGUGCUGCAUGGCUGUCGUCAGCUCGUGUCGUGAGAUGUUGGGUUAAGUCCCGCAACGAGCGCAACCCUCGUCGCUAGUUAUAUGUGUCUAGUGAGACUGCCGGUAUCAAACCGGAGGAAGGUGGGGAUGACGUCAAGUCAGCAUGGUCUUUAUGUCCAGGGCUACACACACGCUACAAUGGCCGGUACAAUGGGUUGCCAUACCGCGAGGUGGAGCUAAUCCUCAAAGCCGGUCUCAGUUCGGAUUGCAGUCUGCAACUCGACUGCAUGAAGGUGGAGUUGCUAGUAACCGCGCGUCAGCAAUAGUGCGGUGAUGCGUUCCCGGGCCUUGUACACACCGCCCGUCACAUCAUGGGAGUCGGCAACACCUGAAGUCGGUGACCAAACCGAAAGGUAGGAACUG